rnacentral:tRNA from 1 species
UCUAUUUUGGCAGAUUAGUGCAUUAAAUUUAGAAUUUAAUAAAAUGAUUAAAAAUGUCAUAAAUAGUA